AUUGAACGCUGGCGGCAUGCUUUACACAUGCAAGUCGAACGGUAACAGGGAGCUUGCUCCGCUGACGAGUGGCGAACGGGUGAGUAAUGCGUCGGAACGUGCCGAGUAGUGGGGGAUAACGCAUCGAAAGGUGUGCUAAUACCGCAUACGUACUGAGGUAGAAAGUGGGGGACCUUCGGGCCUCACGCUAUUCGAGCGGCCGACGUCUGAUUAGCUAGUUGGUGAGGUAAAGGCUCACCAAGGCGACGAUCAGUAGCGGGUCUGAGAGGAUGAUCCGCCACACUGGGGCUGAGACACGGCCCAGACGCCUACGGGAGGCAGCAGUGGGGAAUUUUGGACAAUGGGCGCAAGCCUGAUCCAGCCAUGCCGCGUGUCUGAAGAAGGCCUUCGGGUUGUAAAGGACUUUUGUCCGGGAGCAAAUGCCUGGUGUUAAUAGCACUGGGAGCUGAGAGUACCGGAAGAAUAAGCACCGGCUAACUACGUGCCAGCAGCCGCCGUAAGAC
rnacentral:rRNA from 1 species